rnacentral:rRNA from 1 species
ACAAUGGAGAGUUUGAUCCUGGCUCAGGAUGAACGCUAGCUACAGGCUUAACACAUGCAAGUCGAGGGGAAACGACAUCGAAAGCUUGCUUUUGAUGGGCGUCGACCG